rnacentral:rRNA from 1 species
UAGGUGACCUGCGGAAGGAUCAUUAACGAUUGCUAAACAUGCAAAGACAAAACGAACUGGAUUGAAUACUAAAACUCCUGACGAGUUCAGGAAGGAUGAUGCUUUUCUUUCUCUCGCGCAAGCGAAGAAAUAGCCAUCGUGGUUGUUGCGCUCUGCGCUGCGAACGAUGUAAAACAAACAACCGAUGGCCUCUCAUACAGUAUAAUAUCUCUCGCCAUGGCAUACAGGCCUGGCAUCUGGUACGAGUCUCUUGCAGUCUCAAAACCAACCUUACAACUCUGAGCGGUGGAUCACUUGGCUUGUGGAUGCUAUGAAGACCAUAGCUAAGUGUGAGAAUGGCAGCGAGCCGUCGCUAUAUGCGCUGUCCUCUUCUUAUCACAUGUCGAAUGCACAUUGCGCCCCACCCAGUGGUCGGCUAAACAACCUGCAGACAAAAGCCUGAGAGUUGCAACAAAGGCAAGUGUGUGGCCCUCGAGCAACGGCGGGGGAGCCAGGAGCACAUGAGCGUGCGGAACAACUCCUCGUGAGUAGUCAGGCUUGACCCUAUGGUGGGGCACUCCUAGUCGAGUGUGGUGGAUCGGACUCACAUCUCUUGUUGCGCGUUCGCGUGCGAUGGAGUUUGAGUUUCUUUGUUGCUGGUGGCAUUUGGGUCGACAUCAGUCGUGCCCGUAAAUAACUGCCUUGGCUCGUGCCUCUGUGUGUGUGUCCCUCUCGCAGGAGCGCGCGCACAUUGAAGGCCAUAGCUGGCGAUCACUCUUGCGGCCAGGGCACUACUGCGGUAGUGCGCACAGGUCCAAAAGGAACUGGAAAUACGAGAGUCGGGUUUCUAAACUCUGGCCGGUUUCCGCACAAUGUGCGGAGUGACGAUCACAUGAUUGUUGAGGUCCCUGCAUAUCCGCUUCUCUGGUAAAGGCUCAGUCCAAGCCCCACCUCUUUUGAAUGCACACAUUCCAGCAGACAGAGCCUCGCCUGACGAGAUCGGGAAGGAUGAUCUGAGGAUGUGUGUCAAAAGUAACAGAUUGGCCGGCAGUCUCGCAUCACACCUGUAUCAGGAGUGGUGAUCAUGUUGAUUCUUGAGGUCCCUGCGUAUCCGCUUCUCUGGUAAAAGCUCGUWCUUCUCGUAGUAUUCGAGAAUGACACAAGCYUUACCACUUUUGUUCGCACACAUGAGGACAAGGAAAGGGAGAAACGCCUGACGAGAUCAGGAAAAAGUGUGUGUCAAAAGUAAAAGAUUGGCCGGCAGUCUCGCGUCACUCAGCUUGUUGUACUUCGUCAAGUGGUGAUCACAUGAUUGUUGAGGUCCCUGCGUAUCCGCUUCUCUGGUAAGGGCUCGCCCAUGCCCCCACCUCUUUUGUAUGCACACACACCAGGCAGAGCCUCGCCUGACGAGAUCGGGAAGGAUGGUCUGGGAGUGUGUAUCAAAAGUAACAGAUUGGCCGGCAGUCUCGCAUCACAUCCGCAUGAGGAGUGGUGAUCAUGUUGGUUAUCUAGGGCCCUGCGUUAACCGCUUCUCUGGUAAAGGCCKGUGUUUCUCGUAGUAUUCGAGAAUGACACAAGCCUUACCACUUUUGUUCGCACACACGAGGGCAAGGAAGGGAAUAACGCCUGACGAGAUCAGGAAAAAGUGUGUGUAAAAAGUAAAGGAGGGGCCGGCAGCCUUGCAUCACUUUGCACGUUGUACUUCCGUGUGGAAGAAUACGGAUGAAUGAGAGAGAUCUGGCUGCUUGUUGUUUGCAAAUGCCACCACCUCGACUUAGGAGAGGUUACCCGCUGAACUUAAGCAUAUCAGUAAGCGGAGGAAAAGAAACCAAUCAGGGAUUCCCUUAGUAGGGGCGACCGAACAGGGAUGAGCCCAGCGCAGAACCUCCCGGGCCACCCGGCCUGCGGCGGAAUGUUGCGUUAAGGGAAAGGUCGUAGUCAAACCCCACAGCCACGCGAGCUCUAAGUAAGUCACGAAUUGGCUAUCCCAACUAACGGCGGGAAAAUCUCCACGGAGGGUGUAAGACCCGUGUGGGCGCGUGUAAAUGCUGUGUGGGCUCGGCCUCUUUUCCCUGAGAGUCGCGUUGCUUGAGCAUGCAGCGCUAAGCAGGUCGUAAACUCGAUCUAAGGCUAAAUAUGUCCACAAGACCGAUAGCGAACAAGUACCGUGAGGGAAAGUUGAAAAGCACUCUGAAGAGAG